GACGAACGCUGGCGGCGUGCCUAAUACAUGCAAGUAGAACGCUGAAGAGAGGAGCUUACUCUUCUUGGAUGAGUUGCGAACGGGUGAGUAACGCGUAGGUAACCUGCCUUGUAGCGGGGGAUAACUAUUGGAAACGAUAGCUAAUACCGCAUGACAAUGGAUGACACAUGUCAUUUAUUUGAAAGGGGCAAUUGCUCCACUACAAGAUGGACCUGCGUUGUAUUAGCUAGUAGGUGAGGUAAUGGCUCACCUAGGCGACGAUACAUAGCCGACCUGAGAGGGUGAUCGGCCACACUGGGACUGAGACACGGCCCAGACUCCUACGGGAGGCAGCAGUAGGGAAUCUUCGGCAAUGGGGGCAACCCUGACCGAGCAACGCCGCGUGAGUGAAGAAGGUUUUCGGAUCGUAAAGCUCUGUUGUAAGUCAAGAACGGGUGUGAGAGUGGAAAGUUCACACUGUGACGGGAGCUUACCAGAAAGGGACGGCGAACUACGU
rnacentral:rRNA from 1 species